rnacentral:rRNA from 1 species
UACGGGGGGGGCAAGCGUUGUUCGGAAUUACUGGGCGUAAAGGGCUCGUAGGCGGUUUGUCGCGUCUGUCGUGAAAGCUUGGGGCUUAACCCCAAGUCUGCGGUGGAUACGGGCAGACUAGAGGCAGGUAGGGGAGAACGGAAUUCCCGGUGUAGCGGUGAAAUGCGUAGAUAUCAGGAGGAACACCGGUGGUGUAGACGGCUAUCUGGACCGUAACUGACGCUGAGACACGAAAGCGUGGGUAGCAAACAGG